rnacentral:rRNA from 1 species
AUUGAACGCUGGCGGCAGGCUUAACACAUGCAAGUCGAGCGGUAACAGAUCUAGCUUGCUAGAUGCUGACGAGCGGCGGACGGGUGAGUAACGCGUAGGAAACUACCCAGUAGUGGGGGACAACAGUUGGAAACGACUGCUAAUACCGCAUACGCUCUACGGAGGAAAGGGGGCUUCGGCUCUUGCUAUUGGAUGUGCCUGCGUUGGAUUAGCUAGUAGGUUGGGUAAAGGCCGACCUAGGCGACGAUCCAUAGCUGGUCUGAGAGGAUGAUCAGCCACACUGGGACUGAGACACGGCCCAGACUCCUACGGGAGGCAGCAGUGGGGAAUAUUGCACAAUGGGCGCAAGCCUGAUGCAGCCAUGCCGCGUGUGUGAAGAAGGCUUUCGGGUUGUAAAGCACUUUCAUCAGUGAGGAAAGGAUAAUGGUUAAUACCCAUUAUCUGUGACGUUAACUGAAGAAGAAGCACCGGCUAACUCCGUGCCAGCCGCCGCAGUAAUAC